rnacentral:rRNA from 1 species
AUUGAACGCUGGCGGCAGGCCUAACACAUGCAAGUCGAGCGGAGCGGCGGUCGCGGGAGUAAGGCCUAGGCAUCUGCAUUGUAGUGGGGGAUAACGUCCGCCAACGGGAGCUAAUACCACAUCCUAUCAGAUGCGCCUAGGUCGGAUUUGCUAGGUGGUGGGGUAAAGGCUUACCAAGGCGACGAUCCGUAACUGGUGUUAGAGGAUGAUCAUUCACACUGGAACGGAGACACGGUCCAGACUCCUACGGGAGGCAGCAGUGGGGAAUAUUGGACAAUGGGCGCAAGCCUGAUCCAGCCAUGCCGCGUGUAUGAAGAAGGCCUUCGGUUUGUAAAGCACUUUCAGUUGGGAGGCGUUACCAACAGAAGAAGCACCGGCUAACUUCGUGCCAGCAGCCGCGGUAAUAC